GCCAGAGUGGUAUAAUGGUUUAAGUGUUGGACUAUGACUCUGGAGGCCAGGGUUCAAAUCCCUGCUCAGUUA